UAGAAUAUACUGAUGAAAGAUUGACCCUUGAAUCCGGCCAAAGAAUGUGUUUGCGUGGAAGGAGGCAGCCAAAAUCUUUAGCAGCAAAGUCUUCAAGAGCCACAAGAAUGCACCAAUAAGCAAAGCUGUACUAGUCCAGGUAAUAAAAUCAGUAACCUUCUCAGCGGUACGUGACCGCUCCUCGUGUGAGAAGAGCAGAACCCAUGUGAGAAGAACCAAGCUAAACCAAAUGCAAACUCGAACACUUUUCUUUAAACCAAAGACAAAAUACAACACCUUCUUCCUCAACAAAAAGUUCAAUUCUAUCAACAAGGCAACAAAAUGUAUAAACCACUUAGUAACCAGCAUGCCACUAAAGGUCACCAUAACAAGGACAAUCCAUUUCCAGAUCCUCAAAUCCAAAAGCUUCCAAUUAUAGAACUUGUUUACCAAUAAACUAGCAAGUAAACAUCCUAAAAGGCAAAGAAACAGCAGCCAUUCAAUCAGAACUUUUGCUUUAACUCUGUUAUACUUCAACUUAUUCCUUGAGCUCACUUUCUUAUAUAUCUCCUCAUCUUCAUCCACUCCUCCAAAACCACCUGGUGAUGCCAUUUAUGGUGUUCUUGGGGUUACUGAUAUAGACACCGUUCUUGUUGUCUCUUUAAAUGUAUUACUGGAACCCAUUUUAGCAGUAGGAGAAGCAUGGUUAGAUACAUUCCUAUUGGGGGAACUUGCACUUUGCUCAGCAGCUUGUUCAUUAAACAUGUUAGCAUCAAUAGGUACAGAUUGUUCGCCGAAUCUUGAUUUAGGUCUCGAAUACGUACAUCUUGCAAGGGAUUUUCGCCGAGCGAGAGUUUCAGUGGUGGGGAUUUUGGGUGGUUUGUUGGGGCUUAGGCUUGGACUAUACCUGGCAAUUUCAGGUGAGGAAUUACUCACUGAAAACCAAAGAGCUCUUUGCUGUCAAGUUUAUUGAAAGAGGCCACAAGGUUUUUUUUUUCUCACCUUAAAUUUGACACCUUUACUUCAAUAUCUAUUUUGAUUUUUCAUUAAAGUAUUUGUUAAUUUAUGUUCUCAGUGAUGAUCAAUUUUUUUUUUGGGGGGGGGGGGGGGGUUAGAUUAUUUUGAGGUUGCAGAUAGAUGAACACGUUCAAAGGGAAAUAAUGAAUCACACAGAUCAUUAAAACAUCCAAAUAUAGAGGUGCGUGUGCUGUGCUUCUUACUGUUAGAAAGAAUCUUUCAUUAUAUUUAUUCUGAUAGCUGCGUUGAUGAUAUUUAGAACAACAAGGCAACAAAUGUUUUAGCAAAGAUACAAACUUUUUGGAAUUACCCAAUAGAAUCAGUGAGUUUACUACAGUAAAAUGAAAAUCUGGUUUGUACCCAGAAAACACAAAAUGAUAAAAGAACCUCCAGACGCCAGUUGCUACAAAACAAGAAAAGGGAAGUGGGGGAACAGCUAAAAAGAAGCAGAGUCAAAGAUUAGACAACCAUUGUACAAGUUGAAGUGAAUAUAGUAAUACAAGGGCAUCCUAAUUAGACAAAGGUUUUUGCAUAAACUAAGGAGAAAGAAAAAAUAGAACUUACAAGAAAAAUAAGACUGAGAGAGACAUAUUUUCAAGAAAAGGGGCAGUGAUAUCGAGAGGAGGUGAAGAUAGUGGAAGAAGAGGCACAUAUUUUAAUGGAAAACAACUACUUGGGGAGGGGAGACAUAUACACCAGAAAUAUUUGAACUAAGCCACGUAACUUUUGGUUCUGGUUGAGUGGAAUGAAAAAGGCAAUUGCUCAGAGCCUUGGCUGAAAAAAGUAGUAGUAUUUGGACAAUAACAAUUUGACAGCUAGAAAAGUUCUUUGAAACAAAAAAAAAUGUUUAUGAAACACUUGAUUUUUACGUUUUUUUUAGCUUUUUUUUUUUGUAUUUGACAAAAUCAAAAAAUACUUAAAAUAAAUUAAAAACUCCUUAAAACAAGCCAAAAAUAAAAAGUUGGGCAACCUCAACUUAUUACUUUUUUGCUUAAAAGUUAUUUAUGCUGAAAAGUCACUUUAUUUAAACCAAUCCAAACGGACUCUUUGUUUUGUCAAGAAAAAAUCAGCGUCGAAAAUACAAAGAUAUUUCAUUGGCCUCGAUUGGAAAAUCUUAUGGGAUUAGUUAGAGGCGGAUCUAGAAUUUGAAAGUGACGGAUAUUACAAUUUCCUUUAUUGUACACCUUGUAACAACUAAUUUAGAGUUUGUUCGAUUAUUUUAGUUUAUUCGGACAAUUUAAUAGGCAUUUUUUAUUUACAAAUAUAAAAAUUGCAUCUCUUUCCUAGACCCUACUUAUGAGAUUUCACUAGGUAUGUUAUUAUUUUUGUAUGAAAAUUACAUCAGACACCAAGAAGCAAAUGUAAUUAGCAUUUAAAGAAGGAAUCACACAUUUAUUAUUAACAAUACAAGUAAAGUCAAUAUUUUUACCAGAGAACUACACCUUUUUCUGUAUGCUAAAAAUAAAUAAGUAAAAUAACAUCUUCAUAAGGGAAUUCGAUCAGAAUAAGAAAAAUAAAAAAAAUAUUUCAAUAAAUAAAUUAUACCCCACAAGUAAAUGCAGAAUUAGAUAAACUACAAGAUCCCAAAAAUUAAAAUCAUAAAUCUCAUAUUUUUCUAGGCAAUGCUUGCGAAAAUUUCAUCAAAGAGAUUUAAAUUGUAUUUAAGAAUCACAGAAUAGCAUAAUUUUUAUGUUAUAAUAAAAAAAAAUUAUAAAAAUUAAAUUUGAUCUCAAUUCAAAAUUCUGAUCAAGACCCAAGUUUUUUUAUUUUGAAAGAGAAAAACUAAAAGAUUUGAGAUUAAGGAAAAAUCCUUAUUUUAAGAAUUUUUUAAAUUUUGGAGUCUAUUUUUUGAGUGUUCUUGCUAAAGAUCACAAAUAAAAUUAAUAGAAUAAAGGAAAAAAAUAUAAAAAUUAUAAACGACAAAUAGGAAAUUGGGAGGUAGCCAAAAACGAAAAUGAUCGGGAUAAAGAAAAUAAAAGGCACAACGAAAAGAGAAAGUUAGACAAUGUUCUAAAUAAAUUCGAGCUUGAAUUUUACACACGAGAAAAACUUUCAAAAAAGUGUAUCAGCCAUGGCACCUUUGUCUAGUUUGUCACUGGGGGUGGCAAGAUCAAAUAUUUAACCUAGUUAAUUUUUUUUUAUAUAUAAAUAUAUGAGAAUUUUACCAACCUAGUGGGUGUCAUUCCACCCCACCCUAAAGGGUGGAUCUGCCACUAGGAUUAGCUAUCUUAUUUUCUAAUACUCAUUGUCAAUAAUAGAAUAAAUACAAUUACAUAUUCCAUCACAGGAUUAUUUUUUUUUUUUAUUCUAGACCAAGGAUCGAAAGUUUUUGAUCUUAAUAUAUCAUUAAUAAUUUCUUUUUUCUUUUUAAUUAUUGGUCAAAGUUUAAUUAAAAAAGCCAAAUAUAGCAGGAGUACAUUACUAUUGGCAAGAAAAAGGAAAAAUAAUAGAAUAAGAAAAUGUAUUAGAUUUUUUUAUUAUAAGAAGUCAAGAAAUAUUAUUUUAUAGAGUACUAUCUUAAUGCUCAAAUAAUAUAAGAAGAUUAUUGUUAACGGCUCAACGCUAGCUCUUUUUUCUUCUCUCUUUUGUGCAAACAUUGUUUUUUAGUCAUUUUUCUUUAAAAUUUGUUAUUUAUUCCCCAAAAACCCAAAGUUAUAAUAAAAAGUAGUAGUUGCUUGAUCUUAGCUAGGAGUAUUUUGUGAUGAGCGUGGUAUAAAUUAUAAUUGUUUUGCUCCUAGAACUUCAAAAUGGAAUAGUGAAAGAAACAAAAGGACUUUGGAGAAAAUGGCUAGGACCAUGUUACUUGCUAGUAAGUUGCCUCAUAGUUUCGAGAAAGAACCUGUGAACACUGUAUGUUACAUCAUAAAUAGGUGCAUGAGUAGACCUCUUGUAGAGAAAACUCCCUAUGAGUUACUUAAAGGGAGAAAGCCAAAUAUAUCUCAUCUUAGGGCAUUUAGAUGCACGUACUUUGUGCACAAUAAUGAAAAAGACUCUCUAGGAAAGUUUGAUCCCAGAAGUGAUAAGGGAGUAUUCUUGGAAUAUUCUCCACAUAGUAAAGCAUAUAAGAUAUACAACAAAAGAAAUAUGUGUGUAGAAGAAAGUGUACAUGUUGUCUUUGAUGAAACUAAUAUUCUUUUUGAGAGGCAGGAACAAGAUGAUGAAGAGAUUAGACUGAUAAGAAAUUCAAAUGUUGAAACAACAGUUCAGCCUGAAGUUGCUUCACAAGAAGGAACAUCGUCCUUCCACCCAAGGCAACCUGACAGGGGGAACUGACCAGAGAGGAACUGAUUCUCAAACCUCAAGGGAACCAGUCCAUAAACCUGUUCCUCAGCAACAAAACAAUGAGGGAACAUUUAGAGAAAACCAAUUGGUUAUGAAGCCUUAAAAGUAUCAAAGUUCUCAUCCCAUUGGGAACAUAAUCACUCAUCCAACCUCUGGAAUCAAAAUCAUAUCUUCUUUAAAGAAUCUCUGUGCUUUUGAUACUUUCUUGUCUCUUAUUGAAGGCUUUACAGGAUGCAGAUUGGGUGAAUGCAAUGCAAGAUGAAUUCAACUAAUUUGAAAGAAGUUAAGUUUGGCAUCUGGUACCAAGACCCAAAGACAGGAUAGUGAUUGGUACUAAAUGGGUCUUCAGAAACAAACUUGACGAAGAAGGAACAGUUACAAGGAACAAGGUAAGAUUGGUGGUUCAAGGAUAUAGUCAAGAGGAGGGCAUGGGCUAUUAUGAGACUUUUACUCCAGUUGCAAGAUUAGAAGCAAUUAGACUCCUUAUAACCAUUGCUGCUUACAUGGAAUUCACUCUCCAUCAGAUGGAUGUCAAGAGUUCCUUCCUCAAUGGCUAUCUAAAAAAAGAAGUAUUUGUCAAGCGACCUCUUGGCUUUGAAAGAAAGGAAUUUCCUGAGCAUGUGUACAAGCCUGACAAGGCACUUUACGGGCUCAAGCAGGAUCCAAAAGUAUAGUAUGAAGAUUGUCCAAAUUACUGCUUGAGCAUGGAUACAAGAGAGGUAAAAUUGAUAAUAUUUUAUUCAUGAAAGAAAAAGGUAAAUAUCUCUUGGUUAUUCAGAUAUAUGUUGAUGAUAUAAUCUUUGGAGCAACAACUAAUAGGUUAAGUAAAGAGUUUGCUAAGCUAAUGGGGAGUGAAUUUGAAAUGAGCAUGAUGGGUGAACUUAAUUUCUUUUUAGGCUUACAAAUUAAACAAAAUUCAAAUAAAACUAUGAUCCAUCAGUAAAAGUAUGUGAAAGAGUUGCUCAAAAGGUUUAAGAUGGAAGAUUCCAAAGAAAUUGAGAUUCCUAUAACAACAUCCACAAAAUUGGAUUUGGAUGAAUCUUGUUCAUCUGUUGAUCAGAAAAUAUAUAGGGGAAUGAUUGUCACGACUCUAAUUUUUCUCCGUAGGAUGUCGUGACGACACCUAGUCUCUAAAACUAGGUAAGCCAAACAAACAUGCGAAAUGACUGAAAUAAUAAUUAAAAGUCUCAAAACUUCAACAAUUAUAUAAAAUAAAGUCUGCCACUUAACAAUGCACAAUUCCCAAAAUCCAUCGAAAUAUAAGCCACAAGUUCGAUGAAGUAAUACUAAAUAACUCUAUACAAUAAUGUCUAAAUAAGGACAAGGAAGUAAAAUAAUCCAGGUGGAGGGGGGAUCCGAGGCCUACAGAUGCUGGCAGGUGUACCUUGAAGUCUCCACGUACGAACUCUACUCACUGACGCCCGGACUAGUAUGAAGUAUCUGGAUCUAUACAAAAAGAUGUGCGGAAGCAUAAUAUGAGUACACCACAACGGUACCCAGUAAGUGCCAAGCCUAACCUCGAUAGAGUAGUGAAUAGGUUAGGUCAAGGCCCUACUGAAAAUAAUAAGAAACAGGACGAAAUAUUUAACAAUAUAAUAAUAAUGACAAUGGAAAUGAAACAAGUAAGGAGUAUGCCAAAAUGUAACUAUACAGAAUAAAGACAAAUAAUACAUCACGUUAGAAAACAAGGGUUUACAUAUUAAGGAAACAAACAACCAAAGAUAAGUACAAGAACAUAUCAAUUAUUAACAAGUGUCGCUACCGAGGUACCGACUCGUAGUCCCAAAAUAUAAGAACAACUCACAAUCUUUCCUUAUAUCACCGCGGGAGCCUUUACAUUUAGUUUUGAAAAUUAUUUUCCGAAAUAGCAUCUCGCAUUUUAGCCCACCUUAUUACACCGCAUUACUUCUAGUAGUUCCCCUACUAGCCAUGCGUAUCAAGCCCACCUUAUCUCACCGCAUUUAUUUCAACCCCAAAACCUUAUACCACCGCAUGUGUAUCAAUAUCACAACGUAUCACGAAUCGCACCUCAAGUGUCCAAUAUCACAACUUGCCAGAGAAGCCAAACAAUAAUAGAAUUUCACAAUAAGGAGCCCACAUCUCAACCACAAUAUACACAAAGUCUCAACAAUAACAACCGGAAGUAAAUAGCUCAAUAGAAUGAUAUUUCAGAACUUAACACUUUGCUUCAAUAGGAAUUACGACCUUUGUAACUCAAUACCAAUUUCAACUACCAGAUAUUUUCAAGAAUGACAACUUCAAGUAAAGAGUUCAACAAUUAAAUAAUCAAUACGGAAUAAGGAAAUAAGAGCUUCAAGUAAACAUGUAGAGCAAAUAGCAGGUAAGAGAUAAGACAAAUAGAGCAUGUGAAAUUAUACUAAUGAUAAUGAGGAUAACAUGUUAAGAUAACUCAAUUAAAGCAAGAAAGUAAUAUACGUAGCUAAAACCGAUAAUUUUCACAUUUAGCCCGUGUACACACUCGUCACCUUGCGUACACAGGUUCCACACAUCACGAUUAUCACAAACAACACUAAUCUUAAGGGAAAAUUUCCCCACACAAGGUUAGGCAAGUCACUUACCUCAAAUCACGAUAGAUCAAUUCACUAGUAAGCCUUUCCCUUGAUUAUCCAACUCUGAACGGCUCGAAUCCUAAUGAUCUUUCUGAAAAACCCUCAAAAUAUCUCCUCCCACCGAGCUCUCUAAGUCCAAAAAUGGAUUAUGAAUCAAAUCCUCAAAAAUUCCCCUUUUCUGCCCAGCGAAUCCGCUUCUGCGGCUUUUUUGUCGUUUCUGCGACGCUGCACCUGCGGAAAAACCAUCGCAGGUGUGAAUUCCACUGAAGUCCAGAAUUUCUGCUUCUGCAGACCAUGGCUCACGCCUGCGGGCCCGCUUCUGUGGAGAACCUUCCACUUCUGCGACCAUAGCCUAGGCCAGCCUCGUCCGUAUCUGCAAUCACACCUCCGUAUCUGCGAACGCGCAGAUGCGGUUAUCACCUUGCACCUACUAUCCUAGCUGGGCCAAAGCCAGCUUCGCUCCUGCAACAUAUUGCUCACUUUUGCGAGUCCACACCUACGGCCAAUCCCUCCGCAGGUGCGAUGACACCAGAAGGCUGGAACUUCAGAAAUUUCACAAGUCCAAUUUUUUAUCCGGAUUCAAUCUGUUCCACACCGGGGCCCCGGGGACCCCGUCCAAAUAUACCAACAAGUUCCAAAACAUAUAAAGGACCUACUCGAGGCCAAUAAUCACAUUAAACAACAUCGAUUCAACGAAUCACAAUCCAAAUUCAAGCAUAUGAACUAUGAACUUCCGAAUUCCGAAACCAACGCCGAUUCAUACCAAAACAACUCCGAUUGACCUCAAAUCUUGCACACAAGUCAUAAAUAAUAUUACAGACAUAAUCCAACUUUCGGAAUCAGGAUCUGACCCUAAUAUCAAUAAAGUCAACUCCCGGGCAAACUUUUCCAAAAUCAUCCAUUUUCCAACUUUCGCCAAUUCAUGACGAAAUGACCUACGGACCUCCAAAUCAACAUCUGGACAUGCUCAUAAGAGCUAUUGAAACUGUCAAAACUCUAUUCCGGACUUGUCUUUUCACAAGUCAAACUAGGGUCAACUUUUACAACUUAAACCUCCAACUUAGGGACUAUGUGUCUCAUUUCACUCUGAAACUCACCCGAAACCAAAACCAAACACCCUGACAAGUUACAUAACCACAAUAUAGCAUAGAGGAGGCAAUAAAUAAGGGACCAAGGCUAAAAACAUUCAAAACGACCAGCCGGGUCGUUACAUCCUCCCCCUCUUAAAACAAACGUUCGUCCUUGAACGAGUAUAGAGACAUACCUGAAGUGGCGAAACAAUGAGGAUAACGGCUAGGCAUAUCAUGCUCGGUCUCCCAAGUCGCCUCCUCGACUAGCUGACCCAUCCACUGAACCUUCACUGAAACAAUGUUCUUCGACCUCAACUUUCGAACCUGCCUGUCCAAAAUGGCCAUCGGCUCCUUAACAUAAGAUAAUUUUUUGUCCAACUAGACUGAGCUGAAAUCCAACACGUGAGAUGGAUGGCCGUGAUACUUCUAGAGCAUAGAAACAUGGAACACUGGAUGAACUGCAGCUAGACUAGGUGGUAGUGCAAGCUUGUAGGCUACUUCUCCAGUCCUCUUAAGAAUCUCAAACGGCCCGAUAUACCUUGGGCUCAACUUGCCCUUCUUCUCAAACCUCAUAACGCCCUUCAUGGGCAAAACCCGGAGCAAGACCCGCUCCCCAACCAUGAAUGCAACGUCGCGAACCUUUCGAUCUGCAUAACUCUUAUGUCUAGAUUGGGUUGUACGAAGUCGAUCUUGAAUCAAUUUAACCUUUUCCAAAGCAUCCUGAACCAAGUUUGUACCCAAUAGCUUGCCUCACCCGGCUCAAACCAACCCACCGAGGACUGACAUCGUCUCCCAUCCAAAGCCUCAUACGGAGCCAUCUAAAUGCUCGACUUGUAACUGUUCUUGUAGGCAAACUCCACAAUCGGCAAGAACUGAUCCCAAGAACUCCCAAACUCCAUCACACACACACGAAACAUAUCCUCCAAUAUCUGAAUAAUGCGCUCGGACUGUUCGUCAGUCUGAGGGUGAAAUAUUGUACUUAACUCCACCCGCGUGCCUAACUCAUGUUAUACGGCCCUCCAGAACUACGAUGUAAACUACAUACCCCGGUCAGAGAUGACAGAUACCGGCAUGCCAUGAAGCGUGACAAUCUCGCGAAUAUAGACCUAAGCCAGCUACUCUGAAGAAUAAGUAGUCACCACUUGAAUGAAAUGAGUUGACUUGGUCAAUAUAUCCACAAUUAUCCAUACUGCAUCGAACUUCCUCUGAGUCUGUGGGAGCCCAACAACAAAAUCCAUAGUAACCCGCUCCCAUUUCCACUCUGGAAUCUCUUGCCUCUGAAGCAAUCUGUCUGGCCGCUGAUGCUCAUACUUCACCUCCUGGCAAUUUAGGGACCGAGCCACAACCUCCACUAUGUCCUUCUUUAUUCUCCUCUACUAAAAGUGAUGCCUCAAGUCCUGAUACAUCUUGGCGGCACUCGGAUGAAUGAAGUACCGCGAACUAUGGGCCUCCUAAAGAAUCAGCUCACACAAACCAUCUACAUUGGGCACGCAUAGCCUGCCUUGCAUCCGCAAAACACCGUCAUCCCUAAUAGUGACCUUCGUGACAUCGCCAUGUUGAACUGUGUCCUUGAGGACAUGUAGAUGGGGGUCGUCAUACUGACGCUCUCUGAUACGAUCAUAAAAAAAAGAUCGAGAAACCACACAAGCCAAAACUCGACUCGGCUCCGAAAUAUCUAAUCUAACAAAAUGGUUGGCCAAGGCCUGAACAUCUAAUGCUAAUGGCCUCUGCGCUGCCGGUAAAUAUGCUAAACUAUCCAAGCUCUCCGCCUUGAGACUCAAAGUAUCGGCCACCACAUUGACCUUCCCGGGAUAAUAUAGAAUGGUGAUAUCAUAGUCCUUAAGCAACUCUAACCACCUCCACUGCCGCAAGUCAAGAUCCUUCUGUUUGAAUAGAUGCUGUAGACUUCGAUGGUCGGCAUAGACCUCACAAGGGACACCAUACAAAUAGUUCCGCCAAAUCUUCAAGGCAUGAACAAUAGCUGCUAACUCAAGAUCGUGGAGAGGAUAGUUCUUCUCAUGCACCUUCAGUUGUCUAGACGCAUUGGCAAUCACCCUACCGUCCUGCAUCAACACUACGCCGUGAUCAAUACGCGACGCAUCACAAUACACUAUAUAAGGCCCCGAACCCGAAGGCAACACCAAUACAUGGGCCGUAGUCAAAGCAGCCUUGAGCUUUUGAAAGAUCUUCUCACACUCUCUGGUCCACCUAAAUGGAGCACCCUUCUGGGUCAAUCUGGUCAUAGGUCCAGCAAUAUAUGAGAAACCCUCUAUGAAUUGACGGUAAUACCCUGCCAAACCAAGGAAACUUCGAAUCUCAGCAGCUGAAGACGGCAUGGACCAACUCUGCACUGCUUCAAUCUUCUUCGGGUCCACCUUAAUUCCCCCACUCGACACUACAUGACCCAGAAAUGCCAUCAAAUCGAGCUAGAAUUCACACUUUAAAAUUUUUGCAUACAACUUCUUUUCUCUCAAGGUCUGAAGCACGGUCCACAGGUGCUGCUCAUGAUCCUCCCAGUUCCGGGAGUACACCAGAAUGUCGUCAAUAAAUACAAUGUCGAAUGAGUCAAGAUAGGGUUAGAAUACACUAUUCAUCAAGUGCAUGAAUGCUGUUGGGGCAUUAGUCAACCCAAAUAACAUUACAAGGAACUCGUAAUGACCAUAUCGAGUCCUGAAGGCAGUCUUUGGGAUAUCUGGCUCCCGAAUCUUCAACUGAUGAUAGCCUGAAUGCAAGUCAAUCUUGGAGAACACUCUGGCACCCUGUAGCUGAUCAAAUAGGUCAUCAAUGCGUGGCAAUGGAUACCUGUUCUUCACUGUAAGCUUGUUCAACUGGCGAUAAUCAAUACACAUGUGCAUAGAACCAUCCUUCUUCUUUACAAACAAGACUGGAGCACCCCAAGGUGAUACACUAGGCCGAAUAAAACCUUUAUCAAGAAACUCCUGCAACUUCUCCUUUAACUCCUUCAACUUUGGUGGGUCCAUACGAUAUGGUGGAAUAGAAAUGGGCUAAGUACCCGGUAAUAAAUCAAUACCAAAAUCGAUAUCCCUGUCGGGCGGCAUGCUCGAAAGAUCCGCCGGUAAUACAUCUGGAUAAUCCCUCACUACCGGAACUGACUCAAUGGUAGGAGUAUCAACACUGACAUCUCUCACAUAUGCUAGAUACACAUCACAUCCCUUUCUAACCAUCCGAUGUGCCUUAAGGAAAGACACCACCCUACUAGGAAUAUAAUCUAAAGUACCUCUCCACUCUAACCGCGGCAAAACUGGCAUAACCAACGUCACCGUCUUGGCAUGACAUGGGUACAUGUGAAGCCUCACCCAAAAAUCAUAACAAGAGGUGUAGAGAUGUCCUAUCCACGAGCCUCGUGCUGCUCGGGUCCAGUUCCUGAAACAGAUAAAUGAAAAUUUGGCCAACUUGCCUAAGCUCCAUAUGCCUAAUACAAAUCAUAAAUUGGUUAUCCCAAAAAAAGUGGGACAUGAUAUAAAGAAUAUGAGAUAUGCAUAUACAAUUAAUAUAAGACAGAAAUAUUUAUAUCAAUUAAUAAUUUAGAAAAUAAAUAAAAUCAUAAUGUAAAGCAUAUUUCACAGUCUUCCUUUAGAUGUAAGCUUAACCAAAAAUCAUGUGAGCUUUUACCUUUAAACGGGAGUGCUAUACCGACACCGACAUAAUAUAACAACACUAGAUGAUCAACCUAGCACAAGUAUUUGACCCUCUUUGUUCGGACGGCUUCCCGUAGUACCGUACGGGUCGACUUAAUUUCAUCACAUUAAGUAAUGAUCAUUUGCCCUCACAAUGGGGAACUUUUAUGCCACAACCUCAGCUUAACCUUAGAAUGUGUCCCUACACCGAUACAUGUAGUUUCAUGGUAACGAACUCAAGAUUCGAACCAAUCUCGGUGACUUUCACUAGUAACUCCCAAAAUAUUUACAUUUGGCAUUUAUAGUGUUCAUAUACAUAUGAACAAAUUGUAAACAUGUAAUUGUAAAAUAUUUCACCAAUCAUAUAUUCCCGCUUCACAAAAUACUACAAGUAUUAUUCCUCCUUUAUUUAGUUUUUUAAAACUAAAACAAUAUUAUAUUUCAAGAAAAUAAUAUCUGUAGCACCUAAAUAUUUUUUUUGAUGCAAGGAAUGGUCCAAUCCUAACCCGCUCGUCCCCACAAACUAGGAUUCACAUUUAAAAUUUAUUCAAAUCGCAUUUCAAUAUGAGUUGGAGAAAAGCUCUGAGGAUAGUAAAUUUCAACGUACCUCAAAUUGUUUUCCAAUUCUUACCCAAAUGAACCGACGAUGCCAACAAGUCAAAAUCUACAUAUACAAACUUACGCGGAUCAAGGAUGCGUCACAAUAAUACCAUCUAAGCCAACUAAAUGUUUAAUACUUAGGUCCAAUUUCACAAGUUUAGCAAAAAUACCUAUUUUAUCAUGUAAAGGUAAACCCUUGAAUUUUAACUCCAAAUCCUUCAUUAAACAUAUCAUGGUAUCUAAUUGUUCCAUUAGAAUCUCAAAACGAUAUCGUUCAAGCAAGACCCAACACUAUUCGUCAUCUCUACCAACCAACUCUUCAAUUUCAAGAUUAGUUUCUAAGGUUUUAUAAAUAGAUGUUUAAAUAUAAAUCUAUCUUUAAUAUACUCUACUACGUCCAUGGAGUAUAAUACAUAAGUUUGUAGUGAAGAGAUUACCUCUUUGUCAAAUCCUAGAAUUUUGAAGAAUUGAGUUCUUGAGAUUUUCUUCAAGAUCUAUGAAUUUCAUGGUAUUGAAGGGUUAAGAGAUGUAAUAAAUGAAUCAAAUCUACCAAAGAGGGUACUAAUUUCUCACCUCAAGAUAGCAUUAAUGGUGUAGAACUCCAUCCUCUCUCCAAGUCUCCAUGAACUUAUUCCAAAUAAUAAAACAUAUCUCUACCCAUAUGGCAUUUAAAAUCUUUCACAUGACGUGCGCCGUGGUGGAGGCAGCGUCCACACCCGAAGAGUUUCUCCCUUUGCAUGGUGAGUUGGACGCUAUGUCCCCGAAGCAUGAAAUUUCAUUAUGCUCCUUUGCUAUCCAUUUCCACUUUAAUAUUUUUAAGCAUGUGCAUUCUUUUUCAUCUAACAAUUUCAUCAUUAAUAUUCCUAAUCUCAUUUAACUCCCUUGUCUCCUUGUCUCCCCCUUAGUUCCUUGGUUAGCCAUCUGCCAAACUUUGUAAUCUUUUUCGUUCCAAUCAUUCUAAACACCUAAUUGGUUAAAGAUCAAAUCUAAAUAUUUUCAAAACUUAGAUAUAAUAAUUCUCUUUGUAAUAUAAAUUAUUUUUCUAAGAGUUUUAAUGAUCGUUAUAGUUACCAUUAAUCCAAUAUUCAACCUUUGAUAAUAAUUAUUCCCGAGCAUUCCAACAACUUUGUUCUACUCAAAUAGUCCCAUGUAGCUUGGGUUUAAUUAAAUUACAUUCUUAAGCUUAAAAUUAACUCGAAUUAAUUAUGAAAAUUCACGGGGCUUUACAGGAUAAUUAUGAUCACCUAAAAAAAAUCGGUUCUAACUCAAUGAUUGGUUAGAUAAUUUAUAAAUUUUUUAAAUAAUUAGAUUAGAUAUUGCUUAGUCUCAUACUUUUAUUAGUAUACUCUUGUGCCAUGUUCUAAAAUAUCUCACUGAUGUCUAAUGAUAUUACCCUUACUUUCUUGGAAAAAAUCAGUCUUACACAAGAGAACUUUCAGUGAAGAACCUAGUUCAUCGAGCUUAUAAGAUAUGUAUUAUACACUCCACAUAAUUUGAAAUAACUGCAUAUGGAACAUGAUCUGAAAAGAGUCACACUUUAUCCCAAACUACUUUCUAAACCAGUCAGUUGCAAACAAACUGGUUUCACCAAGAGACCCAUGCACCAUAAUUGCCCAAAUUUUUGGCGAAGAGUCCAACAUCUCUUCACCACCUAAAGAACCUCCUUUCCUUCCAAUUAGUUACAAACGAACCAGUUUCACCAAGAUACACUCCAUCUCUUCCCUCUUUAAAUUGAUUCGACUUUAGCCUCUUCUUCACCCCAAAUUCUUGAAACAUCAAAAAACCAAAAAUCCUAACUCUCUCAAAUUCUCUCAACCAUCCAAACUGAUCAAAUGGCAAAUAUUUCUGAAAACCCUAAGAAUUUUGAGAAUCCUUCUUCACCACCUAAAGAACCUUCACACACACCUUCAAUCACCCAAACCCCCAAGAAAAAGCAUGUAAAGAUGCUUGUACGCAAAACAAUGACAAGUGGAGAACAUGCCAAGAAGCUAAAUGAGAAAUUGAAGGCUAGCCAAGCAGAAGAACCCUAAAAAUCUUAUAAUUCCUUCAAGUCUGCGACUGAGAGGGAAGAACCAGUAUCAUCUAAAGAUGCUUCUGAAAUUACUGAAAAUCUUUUAAAUAGGUUUGUGUUGGUUGGUUCGAUUGUUGGUGUAGAAACUGUUGGGUGUGAAAAUAUUGGUGGAAAAAAAAAAUUUAAAAAAAAAAGAAAAAAAGAAAAAGAAAGUGAGGGUGUUAAAGUAGAUGUGAGGGGAAACGGAAAAGAAAGAGUGGUUGGAUUUUCUUCACCCACUCUUGUUGGUUUGGAUGAAGAAACAUGGAAAAUGGUGUUAUGGAGUGAGGAGAGUCCUGAUGAGGAAGAGAAUAUUGAAGAGAAUGAGGUAGUGGUUCUGGGGACACUGCUGCAGCAGAAGGGCUGGUUAGGUUGAGGAAAAGAUUCCAAGAACAUGUUCCAUCUAGAAAGGAACCCCUCCAUGAUCUGUUGCAGAAAGUGUCAGACAGUUACAAUCUCAAGAAGAAGAAGAGUGUUGUAGUAAAACUCCCUGGAAAGGCUAUAGGUGGCAAGAAGAAUAAGUCUGCCUCUUCUAUCCCUGUAGAGACUCAUCCCACAAGAGAAAGAACUACAAAGAGCCAGAAGAAGCAGAGUGAGGGCAAUUGAGAUUGAAGAUAUAGACAUGGUCCUUCAUAAUGAGGAUGAGACAAAGGAAUUGGAGGUUGUCAUUCCCAGUGCUAAGAAAAGAAAGACCUCUAAGAAGAAGUUUCAAGAAAAGUUUGCUGAGGUGGAAGACUCUGUGUUGUCCAAAUGAACUAGAUCGCCAAGAAAAUCAAAGAAAGUUUAAGUAGUGGAGGAAAAAAGUGAAGAAGAUGAGAUUGAUAAAGAAAAUGAUAAGUUGGUGAAGUUCUAGAAAAGAACCAUUUUGAAGGGAAGGCUCCUCAGUGAUUUGGAGUAAGAAAGAGAUAGUACUCUUGCUGGAAAAAUUUGAGUUACUAGGUUUGAAGGUCAUGGUCCUUCAGUUGGAAGGAAGGUUGUCCAGGGCUGAGGUUGUGGAAUUCUUUGCCAACUGUAAGAUUAAUAAUGGAAGAGUCAACAGUGAGGUGAAAGGAGUGACAAUGAGCUUUGAUAACAAAGUCUACUUUGGGGCCGACACUUUGACUAAUUAAUUGUGACUUUCAAGUCCAAACUGCGCCCAAAGAACCUGGUUCAUCCAAGAGGGUACCUAAGAACAACAAGGUUAGAGCCUUGUAGCAGGAAAGUGGGGCUAAGAAUGCUGAAAUAGAAAGACUGAAGACACGGUUGGCUGAAGUGGAAGUUGAGAGAGACUCUCUCAAGUCUGAGCUUGCAAAGGAGAAAGAGAAGAAUGAGGGCAUUCUUCAAGAUAUGCGGAAACUGCUUCAAGCCAAGAACUAAGAACCUGGUCCUUCCAGUCCUAAGACCUUCCUAAACCAGUUUGUAACCAGUAAACCAAAUGAGAUUUCUCUAUUUUUUUGCUCAUAGUUCUAUGUCUGUAUUUCUUCUUAUGCUUUGUGGUGGGAUCUUAUCAAUCAAUGAAAUCCACUGCUUUUGCUCUAAUUGUUUGUUGAUAUUUCUUAUAUGGCUAUUAUCCUUAGAUUGAAAAGGAGAAAAUUAAAUUCAUGAUUGCAUUUGAAGUAGCCCCAGUAUCCAUGAAUGAUAUCUCUUGAAAUCUAGUUACUUGGCUAAAUUAUGCAACUUUUUGAUGAUGCCAAAAGGGGAAAUUUAGAGUUUGAUAUUUAUAACCUAAUGAACCUGGUCCUUGAUGGUUUGUGACUUUAAAAUAAAAAGUGUUUUGACAUUGUGUUUGAUGUGGAGCUGAGUUGAAACAGGUUCUAUGCUCCUGGAAAGCACAGAGUUAGUCAUCAUCAAAAAGGAAAAAUUUGUUAACUUGAGCGAUUUUGGUUUUGAUGAUUGACAAAGGAAUACAUGCAUGAACUAGGUCCAUGGAUAUUGUACACAGGUUAUGGAUAGAUUUAAGCAAAAGGCAUGUCGUACAAAGGGUAAGUAUAAGUGGUUAUUUCUGAUAAUCCCCGAAUGAAAAGAUUGCAUGUUUGAUAAGGGGAAGGACUCCUUGCUUGAAGAGAACUCUAUCCAAGAUAAGGAAAGAGUUAGAAGUUGAAGAUAACUAGAACUCUUCCACCAAGGAAGAGUAAAGCAUCAAGUUUCUAGUUAAUCUUACUAAUUCUAUAAAUAUUAGUGUUGUUCUCUUUUACAUGUGACGCAUACACACUGAAGCUAAGCAAGAAUUGAGAGCCAAAUAGUAAGGCAUUUUAUGAGUAAUUCCUGUGAGUUUUAAGAGUGCGAACCUGAAGCUACAUGAACCAGAUUGAAGAACCAGUUCCAUGUAUCUGUUUUUUAUUCUAGUUCAAUUGUAAUAGGAGCUUUUGAGUUGUACCUUUCACCUUUUCUUAGAAGCAUUUGUACUAGGUACUUGAGUUGUAUUGUUCAAGUUAGAGUUAACUUGAAGCAGUCGCAACAGCCUGUGGUUGGUUGCUACAAGGGUUAGAUUUAAUCCUUAGGUUUGCAAGAGUUUAUAAACUUUAAUGUUUGGUUUAGAGCUUUAGUGAAGUGUUGGGGAAAAUCCUACUUGGAGGUAGGUUGUGAUUUUUUCACCUUUUGAGCCGGGUAUUUUUCACGUAAAAAUACUUGUGUUCUUUACUUUGUGCAUUACUUAUUCCACAACAGUAGAUUAAGGAACGUAUAGAAAAACCAGGUCCUUCUAUAAUCCAGUACACGUAAAAAUUGGACACCACACAAAUCAUCCUCCCUCCCCUCUCUUGUGUCGUAUUGAAGUAUAAAAUAUCAACCAUUUUGAACUAUCUCCAUCCAAUGGAGUUAAAAGUCCUACAAAGCCAGAAUUAUAACUCAUUUGAUUCCAAAUUUUGAUUAAGUUGUCUGAAAUUUAUAUAUCAAGCUUGCAACUAUACAUUUAUUUCCAUGUUGUUUGAGUCCCACUUUUUUAUGGGGUGGGGUACAAACGGCCAAUCUUAGGGAUGUUAUAUAGAGAUUAGCCAAUACUUAUUUUGUCCUGAAAUUUUAAACUAAAAAUCUCAAUUUGAGGAUAAUUCAGGACAUUUUAUCCCGAAAAAUUGAACUAGAAAACUGAAUUCAGGAUGCACUGGCUAAUUUUUAAAUAGCAGCCACUUAAAGUGGCUACAUAGUGUCAUUUCUACCCUUUUUAUUAGGUCUUUAACUAAUACAAAUGAUUUUUACUAAUCUGUUAACAAAAUAAGCAAAUCUACGCAAAGAGAAUUAGUACAAAACGUAGCGGAUGCAAUUCUUGAUAAGGUAAUACAUGGACAAUCAAUGAGGGACGGUCAUACAAUUUUUACAAAUCAUUUUCUAAUAUAGUUGAAGGCAAAUAGGUGAAUAUUUAGUGAAACUUUACUUGAUAUGUGAGUUGAUAUUAAGGGCUAUUGGCAGCAUCUUUGUGUUUAUUAGGUCUUUCUGUUUUAAUCUUGUUUGAUGAUAACAACAAGGGUUACUGGGGAUAUCUUUUAUUGACUUUCAUAUUACCUUGAUGCGCAUUGGCGGAUGCAGUCAACAACUAACGGGUUCAAUUGAACCCAUAACUUUUGACGUGGUAUAAAUAUUUAUAUAUAAAAAUUCAUUAAAAUUGCAAAAAUAGUGGAUAUGAACCUAUAACUUUAAAAAUAUAAUGAGUUAAAUACUAAAAACAUUUAAAGUUGAACCCAUAUGAUUUAAAUUGUGGAUCCGCCUCUGUUGAUGCGGAUUGCCUCAUGAAAUAGCAGUAUAAUUUUUUCUACAAAUCUGAUUUAGAUAGAAAUUUGAUAAGAGAGCGAAAAGAUAGCAGGCUACGACAGUUCUCAAUUCCACUUUCAAGAUUACUUGACCCCUAAGUGUAAUUUAGUAAUAAUAUUAAAAAUUCAGUAUUUAAAAUUAUUCGUCCACUUAAAAUGUUGCAAGCAAAUGAAUUUAUGAAAAGAGAUAAUAAGAAUAUACAAAGGGUCUCUCCUCUAAGAAUUUUCUUUUCCAUGUCCUAUUUUUCGAGACGAAUAUGAUUAUACUCAAAGGACUAUCUAGUCAAUAAGACGCCUAUCGAAGUAGAAAAAAAGAAAGAACAAUAGAUAAUAAUAAAAAAAAUGUCGCGUCUGAACAAGCAGAAUAGACGAGGAAAAGGUAUCAUGUUAUGAGUGGAGAAGCUCCAAGUCUCAUGUAAGACAACUAAAGACAAUAAUUUCCACUUUGACUCCUCGAAUUAGAAUUUACACUCAUACAAGUCUCAUUCAUUUAUCUUACCCACCCUAGUGCUAUUCUAAUUGAAUUUCAAAGAUUUCGCUCACAUUUUGUAAAGUAUUCUCUAGCUGUUGGUUUUUUUUCUUUCUUUUUUUUUUGGAGAAUUAUUUGUACUGGGAAGAAACAGAUUUGCAGUCCUCUACCUUACCACUUACCCAUGUCAUCGCCAAAAUGUUACAAAUAGAAAAUACGUAGAUGAAAACUAUCUCGGAUUACAGUUUAAUAUGUCAAGUAUUCACACAAGUUCACCGCAACGGCUAAGUUUGCUUUUGGCGUAUUGUCAUCCAUCUCAAAAGGAGAAUUUGAAACAUUAGAGAGAAGCUAACGUAGAAGGUAAAAGAAUACAUGGCCCUGUAACUCCUCUGGCUCAUAAAACACUCAGAACCACACAAGAUUUUCCACAUUAAAUUACUUCAAAAGACCCUUGAAAAAUUACAUCAACAAUGUUACUGGGCCAGUUUUGGCCAUGAAAUUUUUUUUACUUUUUUUGAAAUUUUUUUACUUUUUCCCGAAAUCAAUUUUCACUUGAACAUGCAUUUCAGAAUUAUUCGAAAAUUUUAAAAACUCCAAAAGGCUAAUUUUCAAAAUUUUCACUUCAGAUCACUCACAAAAUUCAAAAAUGGUCCAAAAUUGUAUUCAUGUCCAAACACAACUCUAAUUUUCAAAUACCAUUUUCACUUGGAAAGAAAUUUCACCUUUUUUUGAAAUUUUACAAUUUUUAUGUCCAAACGCCCACUAAGAUCCUCCAAAUAGAAACUGUACUCACUUUCACACAAAAUAUUAGCAGAUGAAACUUUUAUGUUACAAAUAUUGUUUAAUGUAGUACACACAACUUUCAGCAUUGAAGAGUCAGGUGUUAACCUUCGCCUUCUGAGUUCAUCGGUCAAACAAAUGUAUAAGAAAAACCUAUUGCGGUGGAAGCAACACAUACAAAAAUUACUGUAUUUGUGAACUGAAGAUAAAGUCAUCUACCACUUACUGCUCUUUGAUCUAGAAGAUGAACUUCCUGGGGAAGAAGAUCAUAUUUUAUAUUCAGCUCAUCAAACAUUUUCUUCAUCUCGAGGAUCAGCUCAGUUCUCCGUCUGUUCUUUUCACCAAAGUUCUGAAAGUUCAUAGUAUGAUUGAAAUAGAGUGCCAUUUUAAUUUUGUUCAUAUUUUCAAUCUCCUUCACCACCACACUGUGAUUAGGAUGCCAAUACUGGGGAGUUCUCUCUAGGUACCUGAUAUUUCAACAAGAAAGGUGAAAAAUCAAAAACUUGAGUGAAAAAUGAAUAAUAUUACAAGGUUUAGGGAAAACCUUAUACAUAAGAUAUCCUUAUCUACCAUCAAGUAGUUAGAGAGUUUGCAUUGUCUUUGAACAGGUUAAUCCGUUUUUCCAUGAGAAGAAUACUGGUCAACGACUCGUGCUUUAAAACCGACUGCUCUUGGAGAAUAAAGCCUAAGCUCAAAGUCUAACUUCAUGGUAUUUGUUGGAGAAUAAAGCCUAAGCCAAGAUUUUAAAAUCAAGGUGUUUCAGUAAUUAGAAAGAAUCCUACUCAGCAUGUGGGCAUUAACAUCUGCCCUUAUCUCUCUCAACCAAGUUGCAUGUGGACACUAAAAACUAUCAAUAAAAGAUAUAACAAGAUAUAGAUUAUGCGCCAGAGAUUACAUGUUGUGCAUCACCCUUACCUCAGUCCAAACCACCACCAACGGCGGGAAAAAAGCCAUCAUCUUUUCUCAGUUUCCCUAUGUGCUUUAGUUUCAUUCAGAUCCUUUGCUUUGGGAAUGAAUCUCAGAGAAGAUAUAAGAGGCAUAUCAUGGAUUUGUUUCUUCAGACUAAAAUGCUUGCCUCAAAGAAAAGAAAUGUGUCCAUGUUAAACAUUCAGUAUUGGCUCGUCCAACUACAACAUGUUAAAUAUGUCAGCAUUCCAUUUGACACCCUUAUACUACCAGUAAAUGUCUACAAUUAGGGAUGGGCAGUGCACUCCUAAAAAUUGCCACAGAGAAAAGAAACAUGUCCAAGUUAUUUUUCCAGUAUUGUCUCUUCCAACUACGACCUGUUAAUCGUAUCAACAUUCCAUUAGACACCCCUAUACUACAAUUGCAUGUCAUCAAUUAGGGAUAGGCAGUUGCCUGGCUCGUUCACCAUUCAAGUAUGAGUGAGCUAAAACACGGGCAUGGAGAAUAUGGUCUUGGCUUGCCACCCCUACGGCGUAUAUGUUAUGCAUGACGUCAUUUAUCCGAAAUUUCACUCAGUUUAUGCAUUAUAAUUUCUCGGCAAACUAGUGAAUAUUUACAAUAUCUAUAUUAUAUUAAAUGCACGAAGGCUCUUAGCGAAAUGUUGUUCGCCUUUUUUACCCUUUAAAAAUAGAUUCACAUUGAACAAAAUAGUCAUCUAAUUAUAUUCCUAAUAUCUAGCACUUUAAAAUCAACGAAAAUUUAAUUUUCCUUGUUUGAAUUAUGUAAAAAGUACUACUAUUUAAAACUUUAAAAUUAAUUAGUUAAGAUUUUACCUUUUAUACUAACAAUAUAAUUACUUAUAAAAGAACACGUUGAAAAGGAAAUAUUUUGUAAUUUGAUCACCAUUAAACUUGUAUUUAAGCAAUACACUUUAAUGAUCAAACCACUCUUUUUCGCUCAAGUCCUAUAGUUUUUAAUAGUUGCCGUUUCUUUUCUACUUUGUUUUGCUUUUUAUUUUGGUUGUGAUUCAAGCCUUAUUCAUUGUGAUCUUUCUUUUUGCUUGCUUACUUUAUUUCUUUGGUUAGUACUUUUAAUCUCAUAAUGCCAUGUAACUAUAAUAUGAUUGAUGCAAAAUCCAAAUUUAUUAAUUUUGCAUUACAAAGUUGAGUAUUUCUUUUGACUGAUUUUUUUGCUGGGUACACUAUUUACUUUUUUUUGUCUCGUCAAGAAGUCACAUGUCCAGAAGAUGAGCGUAGCUGAAAUGAGGAUGUUGAAAUGGAUGUGUGGACAUACCAGGAAAGACAAGAUUAGAAAUGAAGUUAUUAGGGAUAAGGUGGGAGUGGCAUCCGUGGAAGACAAGUUGCGGGAAUCGAGGUUGCGACGGUUUGGACAUGUGAGGAGGAGAGACAUAGAUGCCCCGGUCAGGAGGUGUGAGAGGUUGAACAUGGCGAGCUUGAGGAAAGGCAAGGGUAGGCCAAAGAAAUAUUGGAAAGAGGUGAUUAGGCAGGACAUGUCGGUGCUUCACCUAACCGAGGACAUGCAUGACUAGCGAUAGGAAGGUAUGGAGGUCGAGGAUUAAAGUGGUGGGUUGACAGGUAGUUGUGACUUUCUCCUAGGUUUACCAAUAGUACUAGUAGUAUCCUUGUUGGUUUAGAGAUACUUUCUUUUAGAUUGUUAGUGUAUCUGGUACUUAGCUACCACGUCCAUUGUUUUUUUUUUUUGAAAACUGCUACUGGAAAUUGUUGCUCCUUGACUGAUACUAUUUGAUGCUACCUUUUCUCUCCUUUUACUGGAAAUUGUUGCUCCAUGAUUGUUACUAUUUGAUGUUAUUUUUUCUCCCUCUUUUCCUUAUUGUCUUGUCUUCUUCUUCCUCCUUUUUCUUCCUUGCCACCUUUUCUUGAGCCGAGGGUCUAUCGGAAACAGCCUCUCUACCUCUCCAUGUAGGGGUAAAGUCUGCAUACACACUACCCUCCCCAAACCCCACAGGUAGGGAUUAUAUUGUGUUUGUUGUUGUUGUUGGAUACACUAUUUAUUUUGUUUAUGUCUUUCAUGUUUUGCAUUUGACGGAAAUUAUCAAUUAUAACUCACAGGUUCUUAAUUGGAGGGUUUCUAAGUAUUCAGGUUCUUAAUUGGAAGGUAUCUAAGUAUUCAUUUGUGCCAUGAAUGUGAAAUUCGACAAGGUCUGACUUCAUCUGAAAGAGCAUUACAGAAAAACCGUGGUAUUUAAUUUCAUCUAUGAACAUAGAUAUUCUUAAUUAGCUCAAUCUUACAGUAUGCUCAGGUGUUCUUAAGAAUAGUUCAAUCACAUAGUGCUCUCUUUUGUUUGCCAACUACAACAGAUUAUUUUGUUUUGCAUGUUUGGCCAAAGAGUCAGAGCCGGCUCGGGGCUCUAACACCAAAUUAAGGUAGAGAAACUCCAUUUUUUUUGUAUUUCACUCUAAAUAUGAAUACAGAAAACACACAUAUUCACAUAACUAAACAAAUACAAAAGUUACAAACACACUCUUUAGCAUUGAAGAUUUUUUAGAAGGCUACAUCAGUUAAAAAAUUCGAAAAUUUGUCUUCGAAUCCUACCUUUUUUUACCAUUGCUUUCUCUUUAAAACUCAUAUAGUUAUAUUCUAUAAUGGAUAAAACUGUACUUAUUAUUCGUGCUUAAAUUUAUGAAAAAUAUUUAGCUAUUAGAAGUAAAUUAUGCAUUUGUCACUUUAACAUCCCAAUUAUAUUAUUUUGACCAUUUAAAUUAACAAAAAAAAGAGAGGCUAAAGUAGAAAAUAAGUUUUCGUGCACGUCAAGACUCUUUUCUAUUAAUUUUGUUUGGCGUCAAUGAAUGACUUUUCUUCACAAAAAAAAUAAAAUAAUUGUUGGAUAAAAUUGUGCUAACAUUAAAAAUCUCCUCUUAACAUAAAUUUAUAUGGAACUCUAAUACGAACUCAUUAAUGUCCUAUCUACUGUUGAAAUUUGGAAGAGAGAUUAAUUCAACAUGAAUAAGAACAAAAGAUACAAAAUUUUCUAUUUUCACCUAUCGAUCUUUAUGUUUGCCGAAUCAAUACCAGUUUUGACUCUUGCCAAUUACUUUUCUUUCUCUUGGUUUUUUUAUAGGUAUAAUUCUUUUAUCUAAGCAUUAAAUUGGAAUCCACAUAUCUUACUCAAUUAGCCGCGCUAUGUAUACUUUUCAAACUCUUAAUAUGCAUUUUCUGUUUUUUUUAUUAUUACCUUUCUCUUUUCAUUUCAAGAUUCUAAAACUUGGAAGCUUCAAAGUAGAAAGAUAGACCAAAAUUCUCAUUUGGGCCCUUAUAUUAUAUUUCUUUGUUUAUUUUACACCUUAAACUUACUAACCAAAUUAGCGUUGCUUCUUUACGAUCAUGUCUUUUGCAUGUUAAUUUCCAUUUCAAUUAACUGAUAGGUUUGCCUUUAAUCUUUAUUUUAUAACUCAAAAAAAAAUUGUAUUAAUAAUUUACUAAUUUUAUUAAAAUAUAUACUCAUUGAUAGGGUACACGCACAACGCGCGUACCUAAGAAUAAUAUGUAUAAAAUCACUUCAACCAAUAAGUUAGACAAUAGGAAUUGAGAUUCAAUUAUCAACUGAAUCUUUUUGCUACUUCAUAAAUUUUGCUAAGGAAUAAACCCAUAGGGAGGACUUGGACAUGUGUAGGGUCCAAAUGCACUAGGUUAGGCUCGGGGCUUGGAAAGGACCCUAGUUGUCGUAAUAAACCCCGGCUUUCAACAUUUCGAGAAAGCUGGGGUUUAGAUGAAUGUUCAACGGUAAAUUUUCAGAUUCUAGCUAGACUAGCUUUAACUUUUGGAUUCACUUAAGCCGUACCAAGAAAUAUCUUACAAAUUGCUGCAGAAGUCAUAUAUCUUUAAUUAUGAAAGUUGUGCUUUUGUCCUCAUAACUUUCAAGGGAUAAUUUACUACGAAUUCGGGAAAAAGAUGAGAAGAAUUUUCAACUUACUUCUUUGUUUUCUCUUUUAGAGCUCCUAUCUUUUCCACAGGUGUCCUGUAAUCAACAGAAAACUCAAAGGCAUCACCCAUAUCAGGACUUCUGUAGAAAUUGCUGAUUGGCUUGACGGCCAAAACUGUAUUUGGGUAGUAUAUCUUUUCGUUAUCAAACCUCAAGAAUACUGUGGUCAGGAUAUUCAUUUCUUCAACAAUCAUCUGCAAUUUGCAAGAUAAAAGUGUGAAUCAAUAGAGAAAAUGCAAAACAGCAAGAAGAUGCAAUUAGCAGACAUUACCUGAACACCAUCAAUGACACAUCGAUCACCAACAUCAAAAGGAUGCAUCACAAAUACGAAUAUAAUAGCUUCAAAUAUAGUCUUGCAAGUAUUCCCAAAAAUAAAAGCAGCUACCACGAGUUGUGACGACAGAAAGACAAUCACUUUAGUAGUCGCUAUCCCCACCAAAAGGAGCCAUAUGAUGAUUAUUAUGACAACGAGAAUGCAUGUCACGACCUUGUUCAAUUGCUUCACAGCAGUUUUUGUAUCAUUCAAAGCAUGCGAUAGAGCUCUUCGUCCUUGAUAAACCUUAACCUGAUACGCCAAAAAGGACAAAUGAUUGAUAUGCCGAAAAUGACAAAUACUCAUUUCACGACUGUCUCAGAAGGAAAGCUCUAAUUGUGCUCCCCUAAUCACCAGAAAAAAGUCUAGAAUUACUUUUAUUUUCUACAUCCCAAUAUUCUGCAUCAUGUUGGCAAUUAAAUAUCAGAUGAAAUGGAUCUAGUUUAAAUCAUGCCUAAAGUUAUUCCAACCUCUUAACAAUAUGAGCAUGGAGCAUCUAGUAACCAAAUCUGAUUUAGAUUCUUUUACAUCAGUUUGCCAGGCAUAAUCCAGGAAAAUGAGUAAGUUGUGAGCAUACCACCCAUUCCGUCAAUGAUUUCCUAUCAAUCUGUCCAGUUUCUGCCACAUCUAUCAUGGGGAACACAAUAUCGACCUCUUCUUUAAUCAAGAAUCUCCUAAGGUCAUACUCAUCAAUGUACCUAGACAUUCAAAAAAAGGAAUGUGAAUCAAGAGAGAUAACACUACAACAAAGAAUGUUACAGGAUAUUUAGUCGAAAUGUGACAAAUUAAAACAUCAAAAGUAAUGUUUAAAAUGCCAGUGUUUUCUUACCUGGAACCGGGCGAUGCAACAUUCCUGAAAAUGUGAUAGGCAGCAGCAAUUGCUUCCUCCUCAUUGUUGAUCUCCUUAUCUGCUUGCUCACCACCUGCAUCAUAGUCAUUCUCACCGAGCGAGCCAGAGAUAGUGGAAAGUCCUGAGUUAGAUAUUACAUCAACUAACGUUUUCAUGGUCCAUGCAGAGACCUUUUCUCGCUUCAUCUGAUGAAGUUUAUUGAUAUCAAUCACUGCCUUUUCUUUCUUUUCCUUCCCAUCUUUUCCCUUCUUUGUUCUGCGGAAACUAAAUUGACUGGCGGCACUGUUUGAUCUCCCCAACAUCUGAGCAGACUCCAUAACUGGGAGUCCCGAUAGGGUCAGUAGAAUAUACUGAUGAAAAAUUGACUCUUGAAUCCGGUCAAAGAAUGUGUUUACGUGGAAAGAGGCAGCCAAAAUCUUUAGCAGCAAAGUCUUCAAGAGCCACAAGAAUGCACCAAUAAGCAAAGCUGUAAUAGUCCAGGUAAUAAAAUUAGUAACCUUCUCGGCGGUACGCGACCGUUCCUCAUGUGAGAAGAGCAGAACCCAUGUGAGAAGAACCAAGCUAAACCAAAUGCAAACUUGAACACUUUUCUUUAAACCAAAGACAAAAUACAACACCUUCUUCCUCA
rnacentral:lncRNA from 1 species